AGAGUUUGAUCAUGGCUCAGAUUGAACGCUGGCGGCAGGCCUAACACAUGCAAGUCGAGCGGUAGCACAGAGAGCUUGCUCUCGGGUGACGAGCGGCGGACGGGUGAGUAAUGUCUGGGAAACUGCCUGAUGGAGGGGGAUAACUACUGGAAACGGUAGCUAAUACCGCAUAACGUCGCAAGACCAAAGUGGGGGACCUUCGGGCCUCAUGCCAUCAGAUGUGCCCAGAUGGGAUUAGCUGGUAGGUGGGGUAACGGCUCACCUAGGCGACGAUCCCUAGCUGGUCUGAGAGGAUGACCAGCCACACUGGAACUGAGACACGGUCCAGACUCCUACGGGAGGCAGCAGUGGGGAAUAUUGCACAAUGGGCGCAAGCCUGAUGCAGCCAUGCCGCGUGUGUGAAGAAGGCCUUCGGGUUGUAAAGCACUUUCAGCGGGGAGGAAGGCGAUAAGGUUAAUAACCUUGCCGAUUGACGUUACCCGCAGAAGAAGCACCGGCUAACUCCGUGCCAGCAGCCGCGGUAAUACGGAGGGUGCAAGCGUUAAUCGGAAUUACUGGGCGUAAAGCGCACGCAGGCGGUCUGUCAAGUCGGAUGUGAAAUCCCCGGGCUCAACCUGGGAACUGCAUUCGAAACUGGCAGGCUAGAGUCUUGUAGAGGGGGGUAGAAUUCCAGGUGUAGCGGUGAAAUGCGUAGAGAUCUGGAGGAAUACCGGUGGCGAAGGCGGCCCCCUGGACAAAGACUGACGCUCAGGUGCGAAAGCGUGGGGAGCAAACAGGAUUAGAUACCCUGGUAGUCCACGCUGUAAACGAUGUCGAUUUGGAGGUUGUGCCCUUGAGGCGUGGCUUCCGGAGCUAACGCGUUAAAUCGACCGCCUGGGGAGUACGGCCGCAAGGUUAAAACUCAAAUGAAUUGACGGGGGCCCGCACAAGCGGUGGAGCAUGUGGUUUAAUUCGAUGCAACGCGAAGAACCUUACCUGGUCUUGACAUCCACAGAACUUUCCAGAGAUGGAUUGGUGCCUUCGGGAACUGUGAGACAGGUGCUGCAUGGCUGUCGUCAGCUCGUGUUGUGAAAUGUUGGGUUAAGUCCCGCAACGAGCGCAACCCUUAUCCUUUGUUGCCAGCGGUUAGGCCGGGAACUCAAAGGAGACUGCCAGUGAUAAACUGGAGGAAGGUGGGGAUGACGUCAAGUCAUCAUGGCCCUUACGACCAGGGCUACACACGUGCUACAAUGGCAUAUACAAAGAGAAGCGACCUCGCGAGAGCAAGCGGACCUCAUAAAGUAUGUCGUAGUCCGGAUUGGAGUCUGCAACUCGACUCCAUGAAGUCGGAAUCGCUAGUAAUCGUAGAUCAGAAUGCUACGGUGAAUACGUUCCCGGGCCUUGUACACACCGCCCGUCACACCAUGGGAGUGGGUUGCAAAAGAAGUAGGUAGCUUAACCUUCGGGAGGGCGCUUACCACUUUGUGAUUCAUGACUGGGGUGAAGUCGUAACAAGGUAACCGUAGGGGAACCUGCGGUUGGAUCACCU
rnacentral:rRNA from 1 species